GCUGAGCGACACAUGUCUCUGUUCUAACGGUAGUAACCAGUUAUCUCUCUGCAAAUCUGAGUGCGAAACUCG